UUCUUCUCAACCUAACCCUCCUUCUUCUUCUUCGAUCUGGAAUAGAAAAGGACUUUCCUCUUCCGCCCGGAGCCAACCUGCUGCAUCUUGCCGCCGUCCUCGUCUUUGUUCUCGAUUCUCAGGGAGGGAAAUCUCGCCGGCUCCAUUUCCAUCUCUGACCCUGAGUCGCCGCCUCCCAAUCCUUGACCCUGAGUCGCCGCCUCUUCUGCGGUGAGCGCCGGCGACGUCACCCGCUCUCCUCCACCGGAGGGGAUUCUGCCCUGCUGCAGUCCCCGCAUCGUCCAAUUCCGGAUAUCUUCUUCCACAGAGCAUCGUCAUGGAGCCGAGCCCAAUCAGUGCCUCGCUGGGCGCCAUGGGCUCGCUCCCACGGAAGCUCGACGAGCUCCUGGCGACCGGGCACUGGGCACUGAAGGGGGCCGUCACGGAUGAGAUCGAGCAGCUGGCAGCCGAUCUCCACACUCUGCACGAGCUCCUUGUGAAGCUCUUGAAUGCUCAGGACCCUCCCCUGGCGGCGAGGUACUGGAUGAAGGAGGUGCGGGAGCUGUCCUACGACAUGGUGGACUGCGCGGAUCAGUUCGUCCGCGCUGACGGCCGCGCCAAGAUCCGCAGAGCUGCUCGCCGGAAGACUAUCACCCGGUUGAAGCUCAGCCGCCUUCCGGAGAGGUGGAGGUGGCGCCGGUGGAUCGCGGACAAGGUCUCAGAAUUUAGGAGUCGAGCGCAGGAGGCGACCCAUCGGUACUGGAGGUAUAAGCUUUAUGAUUGCGCCUCAGAUCCUGGAAACUCUGGUGUGGGCAGCCCUGAGCUUCCGGUUGUUUCGCUGGAUACGGGUGAUCUAGUUGGCAUAGAAGGCCCAGUGGAUGAGCUUCGCCGGUGGUUGAUUGACGGAGAAGAGGAGCUCAAGGUAGUGUCGAUUUUUGGUGUGGGAGGAAUCGGCAAGACCACUCUUGCACAAAAAUUAUGGGGUAUGCUCCGCGGACAGUUCGAGUGCCGGGCAUUUGUGCGGACAGCCCGAAAGCCCGAUAUGAGGGGAAUCAUCAGGAGCAUACUCUCGCAAGUCCGUCAGCACCAGCCGCCGGACCCUGGCGAGAUGCCCCACCUGAUCCGCGAUCUCAGGGAAUAUCUACGUGAUAAGAGGUACUUUAUUAUAAUUGAUGACUUAUGGGCUACAUCAGUAUGGGAUGUUUUAAGUCGUGCUUUCCCAGAGGGUAAUUGUUGCAGCAGAAUAAUAACUACAACAGAAACUAUGGAAGUAGCUAUGGCAUGCUGUGGUUUUUGCCCUAAGCAUAUUUUUAAAAUGGAAUCUCUUAGUGAUGAUGACUCGGAGAAAUUAUUACUCCAAAGUUCUUGCCUCAGGGGUUCAACAAUUUGAUAAUGUUCUACCCCAGAUUAAGAGAAAUUGUGGUGGCUUGCCAUCAGCAAUCAUCAUUGCAGCCAGCCUUUUGGCAAGCCAACCUGAGAAAUUAGAGCAAUUGGGAUGUAUGCAGAAUUCUUUUGGGGCAAACCAUACCAUGGAUGGAUUUAUGGGGCAAAUAUUAAACAUGAGUCUAAGUAGUCUUCCACAUUAUUUAAAGACAUGUCUGCUUUACCUUAGUAUCUGUCCAGAGGGCUGCCAAUUCUUGAAAGGUGAUUUGGUAAAGCAAUGGGUAGCUGAGGGCUUCAUAUGUGCAAAAGAAGGGGAAGACAUGGAGGAAGUUGCCGGGAGCUAUUUUGAUGAGCUUGUCAGUACAGGCCUGAUCCAAGCUAUGGAUAUCAACUAUAAUUAUGAGGUUUUGUCUUAUUCAGUGCAUCACAUGGUACUUGAUCUCAUUACAUACAAGUCCAUUGAAGAGAAUUUUAUCACUCUAGUCGAUUUUUCUCAAAUGGCAAUACCGGUUACUGAUAAAGUUCGUCGAUUGUCGCUCCACUUUGGUAGUGCAACAUAUGCAACCAUGCCAUCAAGUGUCGGAUUAUCAUAAGUUCGAUCACUCUUCUUUUCUGGCUUGUUUAACUGUGUGCCUUCAUUCAUGGUGUUUAAGCUUCUUCGAGUUCUAAUUCUUCAUUUUUGGGGUGACAUUGGAAACACGAGUUUCAGCCUUGAAGGAAUUUGUGAACUGUUUUGGUUGAGAUAUUUGCAGGUCACAUGUAAUGUCACUGUAAAGCUUCCAGAUGAGAUUGAACCGAUGAAACACUUGGAAACACUGGAAAUAAAUGCAGAAGUAUGUGCUGUUCCACCGGACAUUGUUCGACUUUCUAACUUGUUGCAUCUCCGUCUUGGAAGUGGGACAAAUCUACCCGACGGGGUUGGGUGCAUGAGGUCUCUACGUACACUCAUGUAUUUUGACCUUGGCAGUAGCUCUGAAGACAAUCUAUGGGGCCUUGGCGAUCUUACAAACCUGCGGGAUCUUCAUCUCACCUAUUCUUUGUCACUAUCUGGUGAACAUUUGAAGGAAAAACUGAUAGCUCUGGCUACAUCACUUGGGAAACUGGGUAACCUCAAAUCUUUCACGUUGGCUUCUGGUACUGCUGGCACGGCUGUUCUUUUUGAUGGCUCGAGGAGCAUGUACUCUACUCCUGUCUUUCUCGAGAGGCUUGAGUUGUUACCAUCGAUAUGCGCCUUUUCUAGAUUUCCCAAGUGGAUCGGACAACUCUACAAACUCUGCAAUUUGAAAAUUGCUGUUAGAGAACUGCUGAUGAAUGAUAUUGAUAGCCUCACAGGAUUACAUUCCCUCAGGGUUCUCUCAUUGUGUGUCCAGACAGCUCCUGAGUGAAGGAUCGUCUUCAAUGAUGGGGCUUUCCCAGUUCUCAAGUAUUUCAAGUUCAGGUGUGGUAUACUUUGCAUGUCUUUCAUGUCAGGAGCCAUGCGCAAUCUUCGGAGGCUCAAGCUACGUUUUAACACACAUAUUGGAGAGAAGUAUGAUAAUAUGCUUGCCGGAGUUGAGCACCUUAUAAAUCUCCAGGAUGUUGCUGGACAAAUUGGGGCUGCCACCGAAUCUGGCUGGAGGGCCUCUGAGUCAGCAUUCAAGGAAGCCAUUAGCAAGCAUCCAAGGUGUCCAAAUUUUAGUGUAAAAUGGGUGGAUCCGCUUGAGGAAGAAUAUCGUCAUUCAGAAAAACAGCAUCAGAGGCAAGAAAGAGGGUUAUUAGGUGAAAUACACGGGGUUCUAGAGAAAGCUGAAGACACAAACAAAUAUGAUGAUGACUGGUUGUCACAAAAUCCUGACCUGCCAUCUAGUGUCGCUUCAUGUCAUCCGAAGUCAGAAAAAACAGCUGAAGCUAGCAAACAUCAUGUCCUGGAGAGCAUGCUAUGUGAUGAAAGUGCUGAGCCGAAAGCUCUCGAUUUAUCACUCCUGGAAGACAUCACAAAUAAUUUCUCUGAUGACCAAGAGAUUGGUAGAAGCGAGUUUGGAGUACUUUACAAGGGAAAUCUUCAAAAUGGAAGUACUGUUGUUGUGAAGAAGCUUGCAAUUGCAACUGAUGACAAACUAUUUCUGGAUGGUGUCCACGGCCUAACGAGUGUUAAGCACAGCAACAUAGUAAGGUUUCUAGGUUACUGUGCUAACACACACGGGAAUGUGACUAAGGAAAGAGGCAAAAGUAUUUCUGUAAUGGUGCAAGAGAGGUUUAUGUGCUUCGAAUAUCUUUGUAAUGGAAAUCUUCAGAUGUAUCUUACUGAUGAAUCUUGUGGAUUUGACUGGCACACGCGUUAUCGAAUAAUUAAAGAAAUUUGUCAGGGUUUGCAUUAUCUACAUGAUAAACGCAUUGCUCGUUUAGACCUCACACCAGGCAACAUACUAUUUGAUGAGAAAAUGGUACCAAAAAUAGUGGACUUUGGUUAUUCAAAAUUCUGGGGUGAAGACAUAAGUCGAACUGGCCUUAGAUCGCUGGCUUACAUGGCUACGCCAGAAUACUUGGACGGGGGAGCAAUCACAUACAAGUCUGACAUAUACAGUUUGGGGGUUGUCAUUAUGCAGAUAGUGACUGGACGGAAUAAAAAGGAUUGCUCAAACACAGCUGGUGUACUUGAAAAUUGGAGAAAUAGGUUGAAAUUGGAUAUGUCACCAGGACACAGAUCACUGGAAACAUGUUACCAGCAAGUAAAAGUAUGCGUCGAGAUAGGGAUGAGCUGCAUGGACCAUAACCCAGGGAACAGAUCCACUACACAGCACAUCAUCCAUAUGUUUGAUAAAACUGAAGUUACUGAGCAGUCAAUUAGAAGUGACGUAGGUAGUUCAUAUCUACAGCAGAUGAUUGCUCGUUCUAAAGAAAUAUUCAGACUGGUAGUUGCAGAAUAAGAAGUUUCACAAGCAAGCAAAGCUGCAGAAUCAAAAGCGUCACCGGCAACCAUGGUUGCAGAAUCAAAAGCGCCAUUGGCAACAUACUCGCAUAAGUUUGUUCCGCAGCGUUUGACCGCGGGUAAAAAGAUUGUUAUCAAGUUGAGUGCACCAAGCCCAAAAGACAAGUCCAAAGUGCUGAAGUUGGUGAGCAAAAUACAAGGUGUGGAUUCCAUGCGUAUAACCAGUGACGGCAAGGACUUGCUAGAGGUGAUUGGCGGCUUUGACCCGGUACAAGUGGUUUCUAGCCUGCGCAAGAAGGGCUUCCCCUCCGUCCAAAUCAUCAGUGUGGGGCCAGCGAAGGAUGCCGAACAGAAGUCGACACGGGGCACUGCACAAGGCAAGUCGAAGUCAGCCCCAGAAAAGACCAUCGAGUAUCCAAAGUAUUUAGGAACGGAGGGAGUAGAAUGGAAACUUCAUGCCAUAUCUCAGGUGGGCUUGGUGGUUUGCUAGCGUACGCCGCUGACUAGCUGAUGGCCUGCUCGCCUGCUGAUCCUGAUGGAGGCCCCAAGCCCGUUGCUGCCAUGGUGGACGCCCGUUUUUUCUCUUUCUUUUCUAGUCAACAGGUCUUCUGUGCAUCACCCAAGGACUUAUUUGUGCUUUAUGUUUAUUCGGUGUCCUUUAUGUAAUAAUAACUGUGAUGUAGAUAAAUGUCGGGUUAUCUUGCCAGCUGCAGCGAAAACCUAGUCUUGAUCUCA